AUUGAACGCUGGCGGAAUGCUUUACACAUGCAAGUCGAACGGCAGCACGGGGCAACCUGGUGGCGAGUGGCGAACGGGUGAGCAAUACGUCGGAACGUGCCCAAUCGUGGGGGAUAACGUAGCGAAAGUUACGCUAAUACCGCAUACGAUCUACGGAUGAAAGCGGGGGAUCGCAAGACCUCGCGCGAAUGGAGCGGCCGAUGUCAGAUUAGGUAGUUGGUGGGGUAAAGGCUCACCAAGCCAACGAUCUGUAGCUGGUCUGAGAGGACGACCAGCCACACUGGGACUGAGACACGGCCCAGACUCCUACGGGAGGCAGCAGUGGGGAAUUUUGGACAAUGGGCGCAAGCCUGAUCCAGCCAUUCCGCGUGCAGGAUGAAGGCCUUCGGGUUGUAAACUGCUUUUGUACGGAACGAAACGGUUCUCUCUAAUACAGGGGGCUAAUGACGGUACCGUAAGAAUAAGCACCGGCUAACUACGUGCCAGCCGCCGCAGUAACAC
rnacentral:rRNA from 1 species